GCCCAGACUCCUACGGGAGGCAGCAGUGGGGAAUAUUGCACAAUGGGGGAAACCCUGAUGCAGCGACGCCGCGUGAGCGAUGAAGUAUUUCGGUAUGUAAAGCUCUAUCAGCAGGGAAGAAGAUGACGGUACCUGACUAAGAAGCCCCGGCUAACUACGUGCCAGCAGCCGCGGUAAUACGUAGGGGGCAAGCGUUAUCCGGAUUUACUGGGUGUAAAGGGAGCGUAGACGGCGAUGCAAGCCAGAUGUGAAAGCCCGGGGCUCAACCCCGGGACUGCAUUUGGAACUGUGUGGCUGGAGUGUCGGAGAGGCAGGCGGAAUUCCUAGUGUAGCGGUGAAAUGCGUAGAUAUUAGGAGGAACACCAGUGGCGAAGGCGGCCUGCUGGACGAUGACUGACGUUGAGGCUCGAAAGCGUGGGGAGCAAACAGGAUUAGAUACCCUCGUAACG
rnacentral:rRNA from 1 species